rnacentral:rRNA from 1 species
AGCGGAGUAAAAGAAACCAACAGGGAUUGCCUCAGUAACGGCGAGUGAAGCGGCAACAGCUCAAAUUUGAAAGCUGGCCCCCCCCGGGGGUCCGCGUUGUAAUUUGUAGAGGAUGAUUCGGCGAGGGCUCCCGCCUAAGUCCCCUGGAACGGGGCGUCAUAGAGGGUGAGAAUCCCGUAUGCGGUGGGCUGCCUUAGCCAUGUGAAUCUCCUUCGACGAGUCGAGUUGUUUGGGAAUGCAGCUCUAAAUGGGAGGUAAAUUUCUUCUAAAGCUAAAUACCGGCCAGAGACCGAUAGCGCACAAGUAGAGUGAUCGAAAGAUGAAAAGCACUUUGGAAAGAGAGUUAAAAAGUACGUGAAAUUGUUGAAAGGGAAGCGCUUGCAGCCAGACUUGCCCGCAGUUGCUCAGCCGGUCUCCUGACCGGCGCACUCUUCUGCGGCCAGGCCAGCAUCAGUUCGGGCGGUCGGAUAAAGGCCCCGGGAACGUAGCUCCUCUCGGGGAGUGUUAUAGCCCGGGGUGGAAUGCGGCCAGCCUGGACUGAGGAUCUCGCUUCGGCUAGGAUGCUGGCGUAAUGGCUGUAAGCGGCCCGUCUUGAGCCCACGGGAC